AGCACCGGACUCAAGAUGGACUCUUCCAAAGACUUGGUGUGCAGUCCAAGGCGAUGUAGUAGUCGGCAUAUUCCUUCUCUGUUGUAAUCGACCUUGUGUAAACCCUAGCACCCCGUGCAUAUAUAUAAGCCAUGGGGCCAUAGCUCGUAUGACACAUUAAGCUCGUAGACCACAACAUCCAAUCUCGCAAUAGAUCAACUAUGUACUCUGUACUAUCCCAUCAAUAACAACAAUAGCAUGACAUUGGGGUUUACCUUCAUCAAGAGGGCCCGAACCUAGGUAAAACACCGUCUUCAUCGUCUCUUGUUAUCCAUCGAUCCUAGAUCCACAGUUCAGACCCUUUACUAGAGAUGAGUCGGUUUUGACACCUUAUCAACAAGAACAACUUUUGUGAAGGAAGGGAGACAAUCAGAGAGACACAACCGUUACGGCACCAUCAAGAAUAGAGGAAGAGGAGAUCCGUACAAGAAGAACUGUCGUAG
rnacentral:lncRNA from 1 species